AAUAAUACGUGCACCUAAUUAUAUUCAAUAAAAUCGCUAAUCCUAAACCUAAUUUUUAAUUAUCAUUAUAAUUAUUUUUUUUUUGUUUUUUUCAAAUUUACUUUUUUUUUUUUUCUCAAUGGCCGCAGAAUUUCCGCGCAAUCCGAAUAAACGUAAUCGUUGCGUUUCGGCAAUUCUAAUUAUACACGCGCGUUAUAAAAAAAAAAAAAUAAUACGAAUAAAUAUUAUUACAAUCACGAGGGUCGCGAGCAACAGAACACUGUUCAUCAAUCGGUCGAAAAAAGAAAAAAGAAAAAAAAGAGAACCGUAACGAUCGAAAAGAUUUUUAGGAAGACGUCGUUGUCACCGCAGUGGCGCGAUAAUAUUACAGCGCGCGAUAAUAAUAAGAUAUAUUAUUAUUGUCCCGGUUAAACCGCUUUUAUUCGAUAUAUAUGGUAAAUAGGUACGACGGCCAAUCUGUGAUAACCUGCCAGGUGCGUCGGGCGCCUCUGCGGGCGGGGAAACUCGGACUGCAGUUCUACAUCCUUCUCUGAAACGGCAGAAAAUCGAAAAUCCGCGGGAGAAACGAGUGUUCCCCCUCGGCGAUGUCACACACACUACAAACCCAGGGAUAUAAUAUUUUCCAUCGAGUUCCGACACGAGCGAACGAAAGUUUGACGGUUUUUCGAGGUUAAGCUCGGAGAUUGUCGCUGCUCGUCGGGCGUACAGAUGACGGUCCCAGUUCUCCACCGCCGGCAGCAAUUUCAUCAGUUAAAUAAUAUAUACACGAUCCCGGAAUCCCGCGAUACAGAAAAUUUCGACUGCCGGCCGAGUAUUUUUUUCCCCCGUAAUAAAGGAACGACGGGAUGUGACCUGAGAUUUUUCUCGGAUGGCGAGAAACUGAGGCUUUUUUUUUCCUUUUCACGGCACGAAUCGUUUGCGUUUCGUUCUUUUGAGAUUCAAAUUUUAACACGGUAAUUCGGAAAAAAAAAUAUGAUAAUUUCGAAUAUUACGAUUAUAGCGAAGAAUAGAUUGAUCGACAAUUAUUUGGGAAAACGGGUAUAUUAAUCGCGGAAGCGCUAGGAGCGCGCGUACUACAAUAUCAAUUUCGAUAAUGUUUUUGUACGUCCUGUCCGUUGUUUAAUUUAUCGACUUCGGUUCGCAACUAAAACGGGUUAGUGUCGCGAUAAUACCGUCGUACCUGUACGGUUAAACCAUAAAUAUUAAUUAGUCACGAGAUUUGAGCCGACUGACCUACACGACCGAUAGAAUCCGAUUCGAAAUCUGAAGGUUUUAUUGGCAAAGAAAAAAUAAAAAGGAUUAAAUCAUCCCGAAACGUAUUUUAUACUACGUAAUAUUAUAAAAUAAUAUUUCAGUACAUUUCGAGCGUACAAAUUAUACCGUUAAAAUUUAGGUACACAAUUCUAGCAUGUUACGUAUAUAGUUAUUACUUUGUAAAUGUUUGAAUUUUUUUUUCUUUGUACGAGUAUACCGAAGUUUCAUAGAUAAACGUUUAAACGUAAUACUCUAGAUACUAUAGUUAAGCUCGAAACACUUGGAAAAGAAAAAAAAACCAUUGUACUUUGGGUUUCGUUUACAUGCAAAUAAAUUAAUACGAAUUAAUAAAAAAAAUGUUGGUAAAUUUUUACCAAGAGAUAUGAUGAAAAAGUAAAAAAAAAAAAAAAGGCCCUCCCCCAGUAAUGUAUGAAAGCAUUUUACGAAAGCUUAACCAAAUCUAUCAACUAGAUAAUAUUAUAUUACUUUUUUUUUUCUUUUUUUUUUGAAU